rnacentral:rRNA from 1 species
GCAACUCGCCUACAUGAAGUCGGAAUCGCUAGUAAUCGCGGAUCAGCAUGCCGCGGUGAAUACGUUCCCGGGCCUUGUACACACCGCCCGUCACACCAUGAGAGUUUGUAACACCCAAAGCCGGUGGGGUAACCUUUUGGAGCCAGCCGUCUAAGGUGGGACAGAUGAUUGGGGUGAAGUCGUAACAAGGUACC